rnacentral:rRNA from 1 species
AUGCUGGAGGUAUCAGAAGUGCGAAUGCUGACAUAAGUAACGAUAAAGCGGGUGAAAAGCCCGCUCGCCGGAAGACCAAGGGUUCCUGUCCAACGUUAAUCGGGGCAGGGUGAGUCGACCCCUAAGGCGAGGCCGAAAGGCGUAGUCGAUGGGAAACAGGUUAAUAUUCCUGUACUUGGUGUUACUGCGAAGGGGGGACGGAGAAGGCUAUGUUGGCCGGGCGACGGUUGUCCCGGUUUAAGCGUGUAGGCUGGUUUUCCAGGCAAAUCCGGAAAAUCAAGGCUGAGGCGUGAUGACGAGGUACUACGGUGCUGAAGCAACAAAUGCCCUGCUUCCAGGAAAAGCCUCUAAGCAUCAGGUAACAUCAAAUCGUACCCCAAACCGACACAGGUGGUCAGGUAGAGAAUACCAAGGCGCUUGAGAGAACUCGGGUGAAGGAACUAGGCAAAAUGGUGCCGUAACUUCGGGAGAAGGCACGCUGAUAUGUAGGUGAAGCGACUUGCUCGUGGAGCUGAAAUCAGUCGAAGAUACCAGCUGGCUGCAACUGUUUAUUAAAAACACAGCACUGUGCAAACACGAAAGUGGACGUAUACGGUGUGACGCCUGCCCGGUGCCGGAAGGUUAAUUGAUGGGGUUAGCGCAAGCGAAGCUCUUGAUCGAAGCCCCGGUAAACGGCGGCCGUAACUAUAACGGUCCUAAGGUAGCGAAAUUCCUUGUCGGGUAAGUUCCGACCUGCACGAAUGGCGUAAUGAUGGCCAGGCUGUCUCCACCCGAGACUCAGUGAAAUUGAACUCGCUGUGAAGAUGCAGUGUACCCGCGGCAAGACGGAAAGACCCCGUGAACCUUUACUAUAGCUUGACACUGAACAUUGAGCCUUGAUGUGUAGGAUAGGUGGGAGGCUUUGAAGUGUGGACGCCAGUCUGCAUGGAGCCGACCUUGAAAUACCACCCUUUAAUGUUUGAUGUUCUAACGUUGACCCGUAAUCCGGGUUGCGGACAGUGUCUGGUGGGUAGUUUGACUGGGGCGGUCUCCUCCUAAAGAGUAACGGAGGAGCACGAAGGUUGGCUAAUCCUGGUCGGACAUCAGGAGGUUAGUGCAAUGGCAUAAGCCAGCUUGACUGCGAGCGUGACGGCGCGAGCAGGUGCGAAAGCAGGUCAUAGUGAUCCGGUGGUUCUGAAUGGAAGGGCCAUCGCUCAACGGAUAAAAGGUACUCCGGGGAUAACAGGCUGAUACCGCCCAAGAGUUCAUAUCGACGGCGGUGUUUGGCACCUCGAUGUCGGCUCAUCACAUCCUGGGGCUGAAGUAGGUCCCAAGGGUAUGGCUGUUCGCCAUUUAAAGUGGUACGCGAGCUGGGUUUAGAACGUCGUGAGACAGUUCGGUCCCUAUCUGCCGUGGGCGCUGGAGAACUGAGGGGGGCUGCUCCUAGUACGAGAGGACCGGAGUGGACGCAUCACUGGUGUUCGGGUUGUCAUGCCAAUGGCACUGCCCGGUAGCUAAAUGCGGAAGAGAUAAGUGCUGAAAGCAUCUAAGCACGAAACUUGCCCCGAGAUGAGUUCUCCCUGACUCCUUGA